rnacentral:rRNA from 1 species
UCUGCUCAAUGAUUUUUUAAAUUGCUGUGGUAUUUUGACUAUACAAAGGUAUUGAAAUAAGAUUUUAAUUGAAUGCUAAGAGAAUGGAAAUACAGGAAAAAACUUUUUUUAAAUUAAAAAUUGAAAUUUUUUUAAUUUGUGCAGAAACAAUUAUUAAUAUUAAGGACAAGAAGACCCUAUGAAUUUAUUAAAUUUUAUUUAAUAUGUAAUUACUAUUAGAAAAAUUUUGGCUGGGGCGGCUAAAAAAUAUUUUAAACUUUUUAAAAAUAAAAUGAUCCAUUAUUAAUGAUUAUAUGUUAAAUACUCUAGGGAUAACAGCG